rnacentral:tRNA from 1 species
GAAGCUUCUAAUUUCCUAAAAAGCUUUAAGAGUGAAU